GCCUGACUAGUUCAGCUGGUAGAGCAUGAGACUCUUAAUUUCAGGGUUGUGGGUUCGAGCCCCACAUUGGGCA